rnacentral:lncRNA from 1 species
UUUGAAGAAGAAACUAACUCUAUUACCUUCAAAUUUUUAAAUUGAUGUCGUUUUCAUAGGAUGUUUUCUCUUGUAUUUUUUCUUGACAACAUUUUCUCUUGUAUUUUAUUUUUAAUAUUUUAUCACAUUUCUUUUUAUUAUAUUUUAUCACGAUUUCCUAAUAAGACUAAUAUUAUGUCCUCCUAAAGUGUUUGAGGAAGAUACUAACUCUAUUACUUUCAUAUUUUAAAUUAAUGUCAUUUUCAUAGGAUGUUUUCUCUUAUAUUUUUUUUACAACAUUUUCUCUUGUAUUUUAUUUUUAAUAUUUUAUCACAUUUAUUUAUUUUCAAGAUUAUGGACAUGUAUUAUUAAGAGAAAAGGAGGC